GACGAAGGGGGCAAGCGUUGUUCGGAAUUACUGGGCGUAAAGGGCGCGUAGGCGGUUCUUUAAGUCAGGCGUGAAAGCCCUGGGCUCAACCUGGGAGUGGCGCUUGAUACUGGAGGACUAGAGAGUGGGAGAGGUUGGUGGAAUUCCCAGUGUAGAGGUGAAAUUCGUAGAUAUUGGGAAGAACACCGGUGGCGAAGGCGGCCAACUGGACCAUUUCUGACGCUGAGGCACGAAAGCCAAGGGAGCAAACAGG
rnacentral:rRNA from 1 species